UACGUAGGGGGCAAGCGUUGUCCGGAAUCAUUGGGCGUAAAGAGCGUGUAGGCGGCCCGGUAAGUCCGCUGUGAAAGUCCAGGGCUCAACCCUGGAAGGCCGGUGGAAACUGUCGGGCUAGAGUCCGGAAGAGGCGAGUGGAAUUCCCGGUGUAGCGGUGAAAUGCGCAGAUAUCGGGAGGAACACCAAUGGCGAAGGCAGCUCGCUGGGACGGUACUGACGCUGAGACGCGAAAGCGUGGGGAGCAAACAGG
rnacentral:rRNA from 1 species